UCCUCGGUAGCUCAGCGGUAGAGCAAUUGACUGUUAAUCAAUUGGUCGCUGGUUCGAUCCCAGCCCGGGGAG
rnacentral:tRNA from 3 species